AGCUACAAUAGCUUAUAUUAACGUUGUUGCAGUUAAAAAGCUCAUAGUUGGAUUUCUGGCUGGGCAUAUGGGUCCGCUCUUACGAGUGUGCACCAUACAUGUCUAGCCAUCCUUUGGGAGAGUCACAGUGGUAUUAAGUUGUUAGUGUGGGGAUCCCAAUCCUUUACUGUGAAGAAAUUAGAGUGUUCAAAGCAGGCUUACGCCGUUGAAUAUAUUAGCAUGGAAUAAUAACAUAGGACUAUUGUACUAUUUUAUUGGUUUACGCACAAUAGUAAUGAUUAACAGGGACAAUUGGGGUAUUUGUAUUCCAUUGUCAGAGUUGAAAUUCUAGGAUUUUUGGAAGACAAACUACUGCAAAAGCAUUUACCAAAGAUUUGUUCA
rnacentral:rRNA from 1 species